rnacentral:rRNA from 1 species
AAGGGACGAGAAGCUUGCUUCUCUGAUGUUAGCGGCGGACGGGUGAGUAACACGUGGAUAACCUACCUAUAAGACUGGGAUAACUUCUGGAAACCGGAGCUAAUACCGGAUAAUAU